rnacentral:rRNA from 1 species
UACGUAGGGUGCGAGCGUUGUCCGGAUUUAUUGGGCGUAAAGGGCUCGUAGGCGGUUCGUCACGUCGGGAGUGAAAACUCGGGGCUUAACCCCGAGCCUGCUUCCGAUACGGGCAGACUAGAGGUAGGCAGGGGAGAGCGGAACUCCUGGUGUAGCGGUGGAAUGCGCAGAUAUCAGGAAGAACACCGGUGGCGAAAGCGGUCAUCUGGGCUACAACUGACACUGAGGCGCGAAAGCGUGGGGAGCAAACAGG